CUUCGUGGGCGGGGCCUCCUUCGUGUCCCGGGUCUGGGCGCCCAGCUCCCCCAGCGCCAGGCAAGAAGCUGCGGCCCCGCAGAGUUCAGACCGCUCACCGGGUACAGAGCAAGCCUUUUCCAGGCCCGUAGCCCAGAAUCCAGCCCCGGGCCGAGACCGUCCACGGGAG
rnacentral:lncRNA from 1 species